rnacentral:lncRNA from 1 species
GGUUGAGUUUCCACAAGAAAACCGACUCUGAAGAAUGGAGUCGUUUCUGAGAAAGGCAAAGCCAGUUAGCACCUGCUAAGAGAGUGUGGGUUUGGGGCAUUUACAACAGGGAGAAAGAAAGUUGAUUAGCAGCUGCCUUGUAGCAAGGGAGGCUUUUCAAAUGAGGCUGGGGUUGCGGGGGCGGGGCGGCAGCGAUUCAGUGUCAGUGUCAGGAAUACCACCUCACUUUAUUCAUUCUAAGAGACAUACAGAAAAUUAGGGAGUUUCCCCCAUUAUUUUGGAAUGUCUGAAAUGUGUUUGUGAAUGGAACUUCCAGCAGGGACAGAAGCGUGGGCUAUCUCAACUAUACACAGGUUAUGAAAUCUUGUUUUGUGCCAGCAGAACUAUGGUGUUCGCCACAAUACAAGUGACAAUCAUGUCAGUUGGCCAGAUGACACCUGUAUUAUAUCUUCAGCUCUGGGUAUCACACAUUUAUAAAGUAUACCAGUUUGCGAGGGUUGUCGUAACAAAGCCCCUGGCCUUGGGAGCUCAAACAAGAACUUUUCUCAUCCUUCUACAGGAGAGAAGUCUGUGGUCCAGGUUCCACAGAGUGGAUUUCUUCAGCGGCGGUUCUCCUAGACACUCUCUUUCUUCUGUCUAUAAUGCCACUAGUUGAGCUGGAUUAGAGUUUGCCAUAGCAACUCAUUUUAAUAACCUCUUUUAAAAAAUCCUGUAUCCAAACAUGGUCUCAUUCUGAAGUGCUGGAGUUGAGAAUUUCAACGUGAAUUUGGUGGAGGAGACACAAUUUAGUCCAUGACACAAGCUACCAAAACCCCACUCUGUCCCCUGAUUGUUUAGAUGACCUUGAACUGCAUUUCUUUCUUUUAGGACUCUUAACCCAAAUUCUUACAACUUGUUAGCAGUCAAAAUAUUUCGCCACUUUCAUUAAAUAAUUGCUCAAAGCAGUGCAUUAACCUGGUUGGUAUAUAUUAUUUUUUGUGUUCAAAAGGCUUUAGAAACUAAUAAUAUGUUAGUUACAUAAAAUUCUCUAAGAUGGUCCUUUGGAAAUAAAAGAUUUGGAAGCACAAAAGGAAAUUAUUUCCUUUUCUAUAAAAUGAGACAUUUGGACCAGAAAUUAUCCAAGGCCCCAUUCAGUGGUAAAGACCUACAAUUCUGGCUUAAGUAUAUAUAUAUUUUUAAAAGUAUAGUGUGUUGUUAAAUAUAACUUUAAAUGUUAGAUUGGGUUAUGAAUAAUAUGCAUGAAGAAAAUGCAGAAAUCUGGUUAGGGCCUAUGGAAGGUCUUCCUAAAAUUCAAAUGAACAACGUAGAGAAUCUUGGAAGAAAGCCCUUUGGAUCCACCUGCUGACCUCAGCCUGGCCUUCAAAGUCACAGUAGCUCACACUGAGGAUAUUUCAGAGUCCAGUCCUGCUCCUUUUGAUGCAGGCUGACCUUGAACUUCCUAUGUAUCUAAAGGUAAGCUUAAGCAUACAAUCAAUCCCCUUGCCUCUGCCUUCGGAAUGCUGAGAUUACAGAUGUGUGUCAUCAUGCCUGGGUUAUGCAAUGCUAGGCAUUGAUCCCAGAGCCUCAUGCAUGCUAUGCACGAGCUCUACCCACUGAAUUACAGCCACUAGAUUCUUAAUCUUGUACUUCAGUAACCAGCACUUUCUUUAACAGUGCUUCAACCAUACACCCAAGCAUCCCCCAUACACCAUGCCAUGCACCCCCCAACCUCUGUACAGUUACAUGAGUGAAUGCAUCUUAGGAUUUCCUGAAUCAUAAUUUCCUGAAU